AACGAACGCUGGCGGCAUGCCUAACACAUGCAAGUCGAACGAGACCUUCGGGUCUAGUGGCGCACGGGUGCGUAACGCGUGGGAACCUGCCCUUAGGUUCGGAAUAACUCCCCGAAAGGGGUUCUAAUACCGGAUAAUGUCUUCGGACCAAAGAUUUAUCGCCUUUGGAUGGGCCCGCGUUGGAUUAGCUAGUUGGUAGGGUAAAAGCCUACCAAGGCGACGAUCCAUAGCUGGUCUGAGAGGAUGAUCAGCCACACUGGGACUGAGACACGGCCCAGACUCCUACGGGAGGCAGCAGUGGGGAAUAUUGGAAAAUGGGCGAAAGCCUGAUCCAGCAAUGCCGCGUGAGUGAUGAAGGCCUUAGGGUUGUAAAGCUCUUUUACCCGGGAUGAUAAUGACAGUACCGGGAGAAUAAGCUCCGGCUAACUCCGUG
rnacentral:rRNA from 1 species